AAACAUUUCCACAUUAGUUGAAAUGCACCACUGCGUCAAUUGUACUCGUUACUUUUAUUCGUACAAAAUUCUUUAGUCAACAGCUGUCACUCGUUUUUUGCAAUUUGACCUGUUCGGUUGUUGAUUCCAGUUAUUUCAUUUAGCGCUUAAAAUACAGGUGUAGAAUAAUUAAAGAAUAUAUCAAUAUCGUCUUUAUAUAGCCUCUACGGUGUUAAUGCGAUUGUAAAACGGUAGUGCAGUGAAGUGUUGUUGUGAUGUGGUGAAGCUAACAAAAAAGUUUUAAAGCAAAGGGGAAAAUCCAACAAAAAAAUAAGCGAAUUGUGCAAAAACGCAAUAUCAUUCAAGCGUCUCAUGUAAAAUAGAAUAUUCCUAUUGGAAUUGUAAAAAAAAGUGAAAAUUGUCAAAACAUAGUUAAUUUUCAAAUUGGAUUGAACGACGCAAUUGGAAAAUUAAAAUGUGGAGUCCAACGCACAUACAAGUUACUGUUCAACGAGCAAAAAGUCUGCUGACGAAAGGCAAAAAUGGCACCAACAACUGCUUUGUCACAAUAUCGUUGGGCAAGGAGAAAUAUCAAACAUCUGUCAAGGAGAAAGCGGAGAUGAAUGUCAGCUGGAAUGAGGAAUGCGAACUUAAAAUUCCCGACCAAGGCAAUCGUGCCGAACUGGUGCUGACUUGUUUGCAUCGCAAUAAUCUCGGCAUAGAUGAGUUUCUCGGACAGGCCACAUUGCCACUCAAUGAAAUGGAUGUUUACGAUCGUCCGCGUUCGAAAUGGUUCAAAUUGGAGAGUAAACCCGGCAAGGAGAAGAAGAAUAAAGAGCGCGGUGAGCUGGAAGCGCGCAUAUCCUUCAUUGUCAAAUCCGGCUCGCUGACCGAUCUGAGCAAGAAAGAAAAACACAAGUCUUCCAUUGGCCAACUGGCCUCUUCCGUGGGUGGCAGUCUGCUCUCCAUAGGCACAAUAGAGAAACGCAAAGGCAUUAAGAAGUUUGCCAAAUCGAUUGGUUCGAAAAUGCAUUUGCACAGCAAAAAGAAGAACAAGGACGGCGAUGAUGUAUCGAAUUUCAGUGGUUCAUUUGCAAGCAUCGGCACACCGAACAGCUCGAAUGGCGGAAGUCGCCGUUACGGGCAACGUGCUGGUGAAGCUGAUCCCGGUGUGAUUAGUGAGGACGAGGAUGAAUUUGUCUUUGACAAUUUAUCACAUAAGAGUUCAGCAAGUUCGUUGAAUAUACGCUCGAGUUUGCAACCACCAACACAAAAUUUCGCACCACGUAAUCCUUCACCGCUGCUGAACAAAGUCGUAGGUAAGCCAUUGUCUAGAAGAGAUUUGGUGGAGGAGGAUCUCGCCGUAGAUCCCGAAUUAGAGGAGUUAGAAAACGACUUCAGCGUUCGUGCACGAACACUGCCGCCGCCCUCAAAACCACCACGCACACAACAACAACUCAACGACAUGAUAGCCUCAUCACCGAAACAGAAGGAACCAGCAUUGGAUGAAUGGGAGUCCAAAUUAUAUAAACAACACUUGCAGAUUGGCAGUUCCGAUUCGUUGAAACGGCGCUCUUGGGAGCAAUCACGUGUGCCGCUACCAACACCCAAUGAAGAGGCCGAGCCGGAACCACAAGUAAAUGGCGAUGACAAGAAGGUGACCGAACAGAAAGAAGAACAAAGUUUUGUGAAACAAGCAAAUGAUUUCUCUAAUUUAAACAAUUCACAAGUGAAUGGCGACAGCGAUUCUUCAUUGUCGUCCUCAGACUCUGAAGAGGAAGAGAAGAAGGAAGUUAUACCCGAACCAAUUAAAAACGAAGUCAAAGACGUCGUUGCUAAAAGGCUACAAGAACUUAUUAUCAAUCCUAAACCCGUAACAGCUACACAAAACAUUAGUCUACUAUCGCCCGAUGAAGAGACAAAAGAUUUCAAUGAACUCAACGCUUCGUUUGCCAAAUUCGAACAACGCAAUAAAUCGCACUUAUUUGAUUUGGAUACCGAUAAGAAGUGGCAUACGCAGUCCUUCAUACAGGCCGAAAGUAAAGUGCCUGUUGUGCCCAAGGCCCUACCACGUAACCGUGAAAGGGAAGCGGAACUCAAGCGCGCUGAAGAAGAGCAAGAACUCGAGCUCAGACGUCAAGCUGAGGCGCAGGCUAAAGCAGCAGCUGAAGCCGAAGCAGCCGCAGCUGCCAAAGCUGCUGCAGACGCUGAAGCCACAGCUGCCGCUCAAGCCGCUGCACAAGCUAAACGCCAGCGUCAAGCUGAGCUUGAAGCGGCUACAAUCGCUGCCGAGGUAGAACGCAACCGACGUGAAGCGGCUGAGCGCGAAGAACAACGGCGCGCUGCGGAAGAUGCGCGUCUCGAGGACGAACUACGCAGAAAUGAGCAACAAUUGCGUGAAGAAGAAGCGGCUCUACAAGAGGAGAUGCGACAGCGUGAGGAGGAGAAACGACGCGAAGCCAAGCGACGCGAAGAGGAUCAACGCAUAUUGAACUUUGCCAAGCGAUCGACAUCGCUCGAAGACGAACAAAGUCCCUACAGUAGUACGCCCGAGCAAUCGCCGAGUGAGAUUGUUAGUGAGAAACGCGAAAGGCGCUUGGGCAAAUUCAAGUAUUUGAAUAAGCGAGAUAAAAGCGAAGAUAAUCGUUCCACACCAAGUCCAAAAGCCAACGAACGCAUCAUAAUUGGACAUGAGAAAUCCACAUCACAUGCGGAACGUCGCUCAGAGAUAUCAGCGGCAUUGGCCAAAAAAUACGACGGCAAAUCACGAGAGGAACUCAUGCUGAUCGCGAAUGGCAUGGAAAAUGAGGCACUACUGCAACGUCAACGUGUCAAAGAACUGGAGGAUUACCUGGAUAAUUUAUUGUUGCGCGUUAUGGAAACACAACCGAAACUCUUGCAGAAUCCCUACUCACGCACCACAUCGGCAAAGAGUUUUAAAAAUUACAUCAAUAUGAAUGACUUUUUGUAAAGAAAAAGAAGUGAAAGAAAGAAUGAAAGACAGGUUUGCGAAGCGCGAUGUAUUACCAACCGAUUCGGGCAGUUCGCAUGUCAUUGCCAGGACAACGGCUGAAUAUUAAUCAAAAAAUCAAAAGAUAUAUUAUAGUUAUUUAUAGCAAAUAGUAAAGUUACGCGCGCUAAUUAAAAUGAAAUGAAAAAGAAAAACAAAAACAACACAAUGAACGGUCACUUUGUUUGAGUUGUGCGGCGCCUUCCAAACAGCCUUAACAGAAGCAUACACCAAAUUCUUUGAGGAUAUAAGAGCUGUCAAGGCGCAUGAGUAGUAUCACCAAGUUGCCUUAGUGUGAAAAUUCAAAGUGCUUUUUUUUUAGACUAGUUAUAUACAUAUAAAAAUUUACACAAAAAAGAAAAACGAAAAACUAUAGCAAUGUAUGUGAAAAAAAAUAUAUGUGUUUGAGGAGUAAAACAUGAUUUUUGCAAACAAUGUCAAUGUUUGUUAGUUAGAAAUGAUUUUGUUUCUACUAAAAUACAGUUAAAUUAUUAUAUUAUUAAAAAAAAUUGUAUAUUUUUUAAGUAAAAGAAUCACAAAAUGUAUUUAACAAAAAAUUAACGGUAUUUAAUGCAGCCAAACUGCAGUAACAACGUAUACACCACAACUCAAGAUUUAAUGAUUUUAAAUUUUACACCCAGCAACGGAAAGCAAGCUAAGUUUAAGUUAAUUUAUUAAACAAUAAUUAAAAGAAAGUAAAAAAAAUGAAAGAAAUUCAAAUUUUUCAUGAAAAAAUUAUAUUUUAAAAACACAAAAUUAUAUUAUUGUAUAAAAUUUGACAUUUCUUAAUGCAAGUGACAGCUGUAAAUAAUGCAUUGAACUAGCCAAAAAGCAGGCAAAAACAAAAAUCAAAUUUAAACUAUUUACAACAAAACUCAUAUGGAAAACUGAUUAAAUAUUGCAUUUUUUAUGUAAAAAAAUUUAAAUUAUACAACACUUGUAAUUAUGACGUAAUAUUAAGUUAAGCCGUUUUCUACAAUUUCAAACAAUUUUUGCUACAAUUUAAGUUUUAUAAUAAAUAUUUUUUGUUAAGGCAUUUAAAUUUAUUUAUGUUUAUUUUACAUAUAUUUUAUUUUUGUAUCUUUUGGUUUGGUAAAUUUUUUUUUCUUUUUUGUUGCCGGUCUAAAAUUAUAUUAAAUUACUAGUUUUAACUCUGACAUUUAUCUCUGUUAUGUGUAUGUGCAAAAUUGUCGCGAUAUUGUAAUUUAAAUCUAAGUAAAAAAAAUAUUUAAUAAAUAAAAAAUAUUU